AAUAAGGGCUUACGGUGGAU
rnacentral:rRNA from 3 species